CGGGACACGUGGUAUCCUGUCUGAAUAUGGGGGGACCAUCCUCCAAGGCUAAAUACUCCUGACUGACCGAUAGUGAACCAGUACCGUGAGGGAAAGGCGAAAAGAACCCCGGCGAGGGGAGUGAAAAAGAACCUGAAACCGUGUACGUACAAGCAGUGGGAGCCUCUUAAUGGGGUGACUGCGUACCUUUUGUAUAAUGGGUCAGCGACUUAUAUUCUGUAGCAAGGUUAACCGAAUAGGGGAGCCGAAGGGAAACCGAGUCUUAACUGGGCGUUAAGUUGCAGGGUAUAGACCCGAAACCCGGUGAUCUAGCCAUGGGCAGGUUGAAGGUUGGGUAACACUAACUGGAGGACCGAACCGACUAAUGUUGAAAAAUUAGCGGAUGACUUGUGGCUGGGGGUGAAAGGCCAAUCAAACCGGGAGAUAGCUGGUUCUCCCCGAAAGCUAUUUAGGUAGCGCCUCGUGAAUUCAUCUCCGGGGGUAGAGCACUGUUUCGGCAAGGGGGUCAUCCCGACUUACCAACCCGAUGCAAACUGCGAAUACCGGAGAAUGUUAUCACGGGAGACACACGGCGGGUGCUAACGUCCGUCGUGAAGAGGGAAACAACCCAGACCGCCAGCUAAGGUCCCAAAGUCAUGGUUAAGUGGGAAACGAUGUGGGAAGGCCCAGACAGCCAGGAUGUUGGCUUAGAAGCAGCCAUCAUUUAAAGAAAGCGUAAUAGCUCACUGGUCGAGUCGGCCUGCGCGGAAGAUGUAACGGGGCUAAACCAUGCACCGAAGCUGCGGCAGCGACGUUUAUGCGUUGUUGGGUAGGGGAGCGUUCUGUAAGCCUGCGAAGGUGUACUGUGAGGUAUGCUGGAGGUAUCAGAAGUGCGAAUGCUGACAUAAGUAACGAUAAAGCGGGUGAAAAGCCCGCUCGCCGGAAGACCAAGGGUUCCUGUCCAACGUUAAUCGGGGCAGGGUGAGU
rnacentral:rRNA from 1 species